rnacentral:tRNA from 1 species
GCGGGUAUCGUAUAGCGGCUAUUACUUCACUUUUCCAAAGUGAAAAUGGGGGUUCGACUCCCCCUACCCGCUCCA